UACGUAGGGACCGAGCGUUGUCCGGAUUCAUUGGGCGUAAAGAGCUCGUAGGCGGCUGUUCAAGUCGAACGUGAAAACUCGGGGCUCAACUCCGAGCCUGCGUUCGAUACUGGACGGCUAGAGUCUGGUAGGGGGAUCUGGAAUUCCUGGUGUAGCGGUGAAAUGCGCAGAUAUCAGGAGGAACACCGGUGGCGAAGGCGGAUCUCUGGGCCAUUACUGACGCUGAGGAGCGAAAGCGUGGGGAGCGAACAGG
rnacentral:rRNA from 1 species